GCAGAGUCCUCUCCCAGUGGAGCCACACAGCACACGCCAAACCCCUCUAGCACUGGAUUCUGACACAUAAAGUGUCGUCUACAGUUUGUUAGAGACUCAGUGCCCAGGGUUUUACUAGGGGCUGGCCACAUAUGCACCCACUACGUAGCAUGUACCAAAAUUUCAGACUCCCAGAAGGAAAGUAGGCAUUUGGUAUAAAUCACACUAUUUGUACAAAUUGCUUACAUGCAGUGAACCACUCUUAUCAUUCAGGGAAUGGUGGGAAUCUUCCCACGAUCCAAGUUUCCAGACACCAGCCAAAGGCCAGCCCUGUAUCAGGCCUUUUGAAGAAUGGUGACCUCAUAUCUGCUGUCAACCCUCUUCUGCACAAUGGGCAAGGAAGGGGUAGAAUGGAACACAGAUAGGCAUGGGCCAAGGCUGAGAGUCACCCCACCUGUCAGCUGCCAUUGGGAUUGUUUUAUAACCAAACACUUACUGCAACAGGGCCUGGUCAAACAGAAUGUCCAAAAAAUCUGGACAUGAAUGUGCAUAGAGCACUGUUCCCAGAGGUUAGAAGCCAGACAAAAAUAAAUAAAUAAAUAAAUAAAUAAAUAAAUAAAUAAAUAAAUAAGAAGCCAGACAAAAAGGAUACACAUAACAUGACAUAUAUCUAUAUGAAAAAUAAAUGAAUUUGGGAUGCCUGGGUGGCUCAGCAGUUUGGUGCCUGCUUUCGGCCCAGGGUGUGAUCCUGGAGACCCGGGAUCCAGUCCCAUGUCGGGCUCCCUACAUGGAGCCUGCUUCUCUCUAUCUCUGACUCUCUUUGUAUCUCUCAUUAAUAAAUAAAUACAAUCUUUUUUAAAAAAGAAAUGAAUUUAUAUGAAUACAUUUAUAUAAACUUCAUUUAUCUGAAAGGUCAGAACAAGCAAAUCAUAGAGACAGAAAGCAGAUUGGUGGCUGGCAGGUCCGGGGAAGUGACUACUAAAUGACUGUCAGGUGUUUUCAGGCUCUUGCAACUACUAGAUCCUUUCUGUUUGAUGUAUAUUGCACCUCCUUUUCCCAGGAGGAGAAAUAAACUGAUCUGAAGCAUCAUGACUGUAGUUACGAUACUGUAUUGUAUACCUCAAAUUUCCUAAGAGUUGAUUGGAAGCGUUCUCACUACAGAAAGAAACAUCACAACUCUGUGAGUUGAUGGAUAUAUAAAUUAGCUUGAUAGUGACCAUUUCAUAAUGUAUAUCAAAAUACCAUGUUGUA
rnacentral:lncRNA from 1 species